rnacentral:rRNA from 1 species
GACGUAGGGCGCGAGCGUUGUCCGGAUUUAUUGGGCGUAAAGAGCUCGUAGGCGGCUUGUUGCGUCAGCUGUGAAAACCCGCAGCUCAACUGUGGGCUUGCAGCUGAUACGGGCAGGCUUGAGUUCGGUAGGGGAGACUGGAAUUCCUGGUGUAGCGGUGAAAUGCUCAGAUAUCAGGAGGAACACCGGUGGCGAAGGCGGGUCUCUGGGGCCGAUACUGACGCUGAGGAGCGAAAGCAUGGGGAGCGAACAGGA